GUCCCAUUGCCAGUUGCUGGAUUCUUGGUCCAUUCAUGCUUUCCUCUUAGCGUCCUCUGCUGUGUUUGGUCUUCUCAAGUUGUCCUAUCAUUGGCUGCCCGUCAUGAUCCCGACCGAAGCGUCGCGUACACACCCGUUCACACACCCAGACAAAGGGACGGGGAGAUUGCCAGGGUCCUUCCUAAUCUGGAACCCUGGAGUCGGUCUGUAGAUUGGCUGUCCAUCUGCUGGUGUGGCGCUGCCGCUGUGAGAGACUGCCUGGAUCGCUGGGUUCAGGGACGGCGGUUGUCUGCUAUUGACAACCGGGACCAGACAGUGUCAGGAAGCCCCGGAGCAAAAAGUGACAAGAAACACAGUGGAGCACAGUGUUGUACAUAAAGUGUGCUCCCAUGAUCAGUGUGAUGGAUCAUUAUUGACAUUUUGAGCUGGAUUGUCAUUUUAAACACUCUGCAAUAAGUUGCAUAGACUUCUUGAACUGAAAGGGAAAAUUGUACAUUGCUUGACAUUUGGCAUCAGACAUUUUUACUUUAAAAUAUUAUUUCUUAAUAGGUGGCCUGUUAUUUGUGCUCUGAGUUGUUUCCUGAGUACUCUGUUGAACGACAUGCCAGUACCUGUCGAGAAAGUUUUUAUUCUUUUAUGGACAUUCAUCAUUCAUUUCAUUUCUUCUUUCAAGACAUUUGAAUUUUUUGAUACUUUCACAAGGAUUUAACCAAUGCAAGGACGUCAUCAUAACUUUUUGCUCCUAACAUUGGACAA